rnacentral:rRNA from 1 species
ACGAACGCUGGCGGCGUGCUUAACACCUGCAAGUCGAACGGUAAGGCCCCAGCUUGCUGGGGUACACGAGUGGCGAACGGGUGAGUAACACGUGGGUGACCUGCCCCGCACUUCGGGAUAAGCCUGGGAAACUGGGUCUAAUACCGGAUAGGACCGCACCGUGAGGGUGUGGUGGAAAGUUUUUCGGUGUGGGAUGGGCCCGCGGCCUAUCAGCUUGUUGGUGGGGUAAUGGCCUACCAAGGCGGCGACGGGUAGCCGGCCUGAGAGGGUGGACGGCCACAUUGGGACUGAGACACGGCCCAGACUCCUACGGGAGGCAGCAGUGGGGAAUAUUGCACAAUGGGCGGAAGCCUGAUGCAGCGACGCCGCGUGGGGGAUGACGGCCUUCGGGUUGUAAACUCCUUUCACCAUCGACGAAGGUUUUCUGACGGUAGAUGGAGAAGAAGCACCGGCUAACUACGUG